rnacentral:rRNA from 1 species
UACAGAGGUCUCAAGCGUUGUUCGGAUUUAUUGGGCGUAAAGCGUGCGUAGGCGGCGAGGUAAGUGAGGUGUGAAAUCCCAGGGCUUAACCCUGGAACUGCACCUUAUACUGCCUUGCUCGAGGGCUGGAGAGGAGACUGGAAUUUACGGUGUAGCAGUGAAAUGCGUAGAGAUCGUAAGGAAGACCAGUGGCGAAGGCGAGUCUCUGGAAAGCUGCUGACGGCUGAGGCACGAAGGCCAGGGGAGCAAACGGG